rnacentral:lncRNA from 1 species
CUGGGUGUUACCUUCCCAGUGUGGUGCAAGGGUUCGCCCAUCAGCAGGCUCGCUCCGCAGGAUGCACCGUGUCUGCUGAGUGAGUCAGCAUGCUAGUGGUUAAGUUACCGAGCCUUGGCUUUCUGGUUAGAGCUUCCAACCUUCCAAGAGUUAACCUGCAGCAGCGAUGUUCUGAGGAUCCAGGCAGAGGAUACACAAGCGUCCCAGCAGGCACUCUGGUUUGCUGCGAACAUAUGCGGUUUUGAAUGAGCAGCUGCAGCACCGGGUUUGGGCCUGUGCACAGGAGUGCUGGUGUGCCCAGAGGCAUUGAAUCCUUUGGAGUUGGAGGUCCAGAAGUUGUGAGUACCAUAUUUGGAAACACAUUGAGAAGUCAGCCUGGGCAACCUGCAGGGCACAAGGCACAGGAUUCUGCAUGGCCAUUUGGACUCCCGGGAGGUGAGGACUUGCUUUGAUUCACAGAGUCAGGGUUGAGAUGCCCAGUUGUUCCUCAUCUUGGCUCAGAAGAAGCACCUAGGAAUAAAAGCUUUAAGCGGGUAUUGAGUAUAAUGGACUUAAAGUCCACUACGGGAAACAGCAGCUAGUGACAGGAGAAAUGGCAAAGCGAACCUUCUCCUCCUUGGAGGCGUUCCUCAUUUUCCUUCUGGUAAUGAUGACGGCCAUCACAGUGGCCCUUCUCACCCUCUUGUUCGUCACCAGUGGGACCAUCGAAAACCACAAAGAUUCAGGGAAUCACUGGGUUUCAACCACCCAGGGCCCCACAACCACCCAGUCCUCUCCAACCACACAAACUCCAACCACACAAACUCCAG